UCUAUUAAUUCCUACCCAGUGUUUAUGCUUUUGAAUCUGUCAGCAAUGUCGGUUUGAAAGAUGCUGCCCGGGUAUCGAAACCUACAUGGUAUCCUACAGACAGCUGAAAACGUAACAGUCAUUUGGUAGUUCAACUGCUUUGUCCAUCCCUGAUCUCAUAUAUUUUUCAUCCUCAAAACAAAUUAAGCGUUCGUUCAACCGGAGAUGAACCGUACAGAAUAUUGCGAAAUUUACUUAAUGAACCUGAAAUAUGUGUUCAAUGAUCCCUAGAUUUCUGCUAAAUGAACCUAAGAGAAUUGUUCAAUUAGAGAAUCGAUAAUGAGUUUCGUGAUAGAAAAAAAAAAUCAAUAUCCUUUCCUGUG